CCUACGGGUGGCUGCAGUGAGGAAUAUUGGUCAAUGGCCGAGAGGCUGAACCAGCCAAGUCGCGUGAGGGAAGAAUGUCCUAUGGAUUGUAAACCUCUUUUGUCAGGGAGCAAAGUCACCCACGUGUGGGUGUUGGAGAGUACCUGACGAAAAAGCAUCGGCUAACUCCGUGCCAGCAGCCGCGGUAAUACGGAGGAUGCGAGCGUUAUCCGGAUUUAUUGGGUUUAAGGGGUGCGUAGGCGGGUUAUCAAGUCAGCGGUAAAAUCGUGGAGCUCAACUCCAUCCAGCCGUUGAAACUGAUAAUCUAGAGUGGUCGAGAAGGAUGCGGAAGGCGUGGUGUAGCGGUGAAAUGCGUAGAUAUCACGCAGAACUCCGGUUGAGAAGGCAGCUUACCAAUCUAUAUCUGACGUUGAGGCACGAAAGCGUGGGGAGCAAACAGGAUUAGAUACCCGUGUAGUC
rnacentral:rRNA from 1 species